rfam:Alpha proteobacterium AAP38 AAP38_Contigs_11, whole genome shotgun sequence.
GGCACGAAACUUGCUUUAACUAUCUGGCGGGGACCAACGGCGGUUCCCCUUCAUAGGGCCGGUCCGCCGGUCCCGCCGGACAAUGGCGUCUG